CAGUCGAGGGGCACGGUGGUGAAGGCUUGCCUUUACCAGCCGGCGACCGGCGCACGGGUGAGUAACACGUAUGCAACCUGCCUGCCACAGCCGGAUAAUCGGGAGAAAUUCCGUCUAAUACGGCAUAAUGCACCUAUGGGACAUCCUGUUGGUGCCAAAGGUUAAUUCCGGUGGCGGAUGGGCAUGCGUCGCAUUAGUUAGUUGGCGGUGUAACGGACCACCAAGACGACGAUGCGUAGGGGUUCUGAGAGGAAGGUCCCCCACACUGGUACUGAGACACGGACCAGACUCCUACGGGAGGCAGCAGUGAGGAAUAUUGGUCAAUGGGCGGGAGCCUGAACCAGCCAAGUCGCGUGAGGGAUGACGGCCCUAUGGGUUGUAAACCUCUUUUGCCGGGGAGCAAAGUGCCGCACGUGUGCGGUUUGGAGAGUACCCGGAGAAAAAGCAUCGGCUAACUCCGUGCCAGCAGCCGCGGUAAUACGGAGGAUGCGAGCGUUAUCCGGAUUUAUUGGGUUUAAAGGGUGCGUAGGCGGACGCUUAAGUCAGCGGUAAAAUUGCGGGGCUCAACCUCGUCGAGCCGUUGAAACUGGGUGCCUUGAGUGGGCGAGAAGUACGCGGAAUGCGUGGUGUAGCGGUGAAAUGCAUAGAUAUCACGCAGAACUCCGAUUGCGAAGGCAGCGUACCGGCGCCCAACUGACGCUGAAGCACGAAGGCGUGGGUAUCGAACAGGAUUAGAUACCCUGGUAGUCCACGCAGUAAACGAUGAA
rnacentral:rRNA from 1 species